UGGAGGAAAAAGGAAAGGCGGCUUCGGCUGCCACUUACAGAUGGGCCCGCGGCGCAUUAGCUAGUUGGCGGGGUAACGGCCCACCAAGGCAACGAUGCGUAGCCGACCUGAGAGGGUGAUCGGCCACAUUGGGACUGAGACACGGCCCAAACUCCUACGGGAGGCAGCAGUAGGGAAUCUUCCGCAAUGGACGAAAGUCUGACGGAGCAACGCCGCGUGAGUGAAGAAGGCCUUCGGGUCGUAAAACUCUGUUGCCGGGGAAGAACAAGUGCCGUUCGAACAGGGCGGCGCCUUGACGGUACCCGGCCAGAAAGCCACGGCUAACUACGUG
rnacentral:rRNA from 1 species